GUAUAGAUUUUAUAGGCACAACAUUCUAUUAACAUACAUUGGGGUAAAUGAAACAACAUAGACCUGGAAAGGUCUACAAAAGGUGCACAGGUGGAGACAUAAAGAUGACAAGGUGUGCACAUGCUCCCUAGAGAACCAGCAACAACCCAUCAGGUUUAUUUCAAUAAUGAUCCUUCCGCAGGUUCACCUACGGAAA
rnacentral:misc_RNA from 1 species